GGUUUCGUGGUGUAGUUGGUUAUCACGUCAGUCUAACAAGAAGAUCACAUCACAAGAUGUGAUCCUUGGACACACUGAAGGUCUCCGGUUCAAGUCCGGGCGAAAUCA